UCGCCAGGUCCUCGUCGUGAAAAAAAGAGUCGCGGUCGCGCUCCGCAAAGACGAGAGGCAUCCCUCGCGUUACAUCCCGAUCGUCCUCGUGGCGCGAGUCGCUCUCGUCGGCAGGAAACGAUGAACGAUGAGCACGCGCUUCGAUCCGUAGAUCGCGUCGCGUACCUGACAGCGUCCGGAGCCGGCGCGCUCAACGGUGCUAUAUCGCGAGCAGCUCUCGAACGAGAGUGAAAGCGCGGGUGGUGUUGCAUGCGGAAGCGGCUGCUUUGCAUUUCGUUCUUUAUCACGCGACAUGUAGGACCGAUUAGAUUUCCAUCGGGAACACUUGAUUCGUGACUCGUGACUCGCCCGGUGUCGGGCUUGUUAAAUUGCAAGAUUAACCCGCUCUGAAUUAAUGAACAAUUACGUCGGUUAAUUCUUCAUGUGCUGUACGAGGCUCCUGCGAGCUCCUCGGCGGAGCGCGGGAGCCGUGCCGUCAUUGAUCUAAAUCACGUCGCUUUUCGGGACUCGCCGGCGAUCGGAUCCCGUUGAUCCGUUCAUCGCGGCGCGAAGUUUUCGCGAAGAGUCACGUGCGGUGACCGCGAAUGGAGGGGAAGACGAAUUUGUGGCAAAUUUGAGAAGUCACCGGCGGUACAUGAGGACCCGUGAAGUUCCUAGUGAAUAUAUGGCAACGUCCACGGUGGCGGAUCAUCAUGACAUCGUCGGGAGAACUUCCCCGAAUGUUGCCGAACGCGUUCUUCCCAUGAACGUCUGCCCGCCGAGCAACUUCCCGGACAAGUUUCAAGAUUUCUUCGCGGCGCUUACCGAGGACGGCGACGACCUACCCAACAUGCUCGAGGACAAGCUUAUACCGAGAAAGCCGGAUGGCACGGGCGUCGACGCGAAAAAUCGGCGGACCUGGAACAAACGGACCUUCCAGAGGCGGAGCAGCGAGGUCGAGGUCCGUCUCCAUCAUACCUCGCUGUCCGGGUCUCAGGGUCACAGCUGCGUGGACGGACCGAAAUCGCCGACCUCGAGGCGCAGAAGUUCCAGCAUCGCGGUUGCCAGACCCACGCCGGACUUACACAGAUUUCUGCAAGCGGAGGCCGGUCCCUGGGGUCACCUGUCACCCUCGCCUAGAAGUCCGACCAGAACGCCGGCCUUGAGUCCUGGCGCCGUGUCAUCGUCAUCUCAUCUGAGCGCGAGCGCGAGCCCAAGCGGACCCAGUCCGACGAGUCCCUCCGGUUCAGCUAGCUUGACGUCUGGGAUUCGCGGAGGCCCCGGCCCCAGGCAAUAUCGCAGUAGAACGAGCAGCAUGCCGGCUGUUCCACGUCACAGGCCGAUGCUGGCCGAUACGAGACGCGCUGGUGGCACAGCGGGGUGCGAGGAGGGCGAGACCGAAGACGGGGUUGAAUAUUACAGGCUCCGGUCUUUCUCCAUAACGGCGAACGGGGUGUAUAACUUGGGCGACUCGUUGAAGACACGCCGCAGCAAGAGCAUCAACAGCGUCACCUCCUCCACCAGCUGCAGCAGCACCCGGGAAGGUAGAUUACUCAGCUCGGCCUCGCAGCUCUCCGGCAUGGAGGCGGAAGAAGAAGCCGGCAACGAGCGGGUGGCGACGUACAAAGUGGGCAUGCUGGGCGCGUCGGAAGUCGGGAAAACCGCCCUAACUGCACAAUUCACCACGAGCGACUACAUUUGCGCUUACGACGCCUCUCUCGACGAGGAGUACGGGCAGAAGAACGUAUCGGUGAUGCUCGAUGGGCAGGAGACGGAAUUAGAAAUCAUUGAUCACCCCGCCUCGGAGAUGUCAGUCGAGACUUUUUGUUCAACUUACAAUCCGGACGUGUACGUGGUGGUGUACUCGGUGGUGGACAGAAGGAGCUUAAAGGUGGCCGAGGAGACGCUGCUCUAUUUGUGGAAGAGCGAUUAUAUGACGACUCACGGUGUCAUCCUGGUUGGUAAUAAAGUGGACCUCGAGAGGAAGCGGGAAGUUCCGUCAGUGGUUGGCCGCCGUUUGGCAAACAGCUGCGGUUGCAAGUUCAUCGAGACGUCGUCGGGUCUGGCCCAUCACGUGGACGAGCUUCUGGUCGGCAUUCUGGCGCAAAUCAAGCUGAAUCCGCAGCGCAACCGGGACCAGGUGACCAGGCGCCGUCGCAGCAAGCAGCGCAGCAGACGGAUUCUGAAGCACCUGCUCGGCUUCAAGAGGAAAACCAAGAGCUGCGAGAAUCUUUUCGUUCUCUAACGUUCUCCUCGCGCAGCGUCCCGUGUACGGCGCGAGAAGAAAGAAAAGUGAUUUCAUCAGAUCAGAUAUCGAUCGCCCGAGCGUGUCGCUCCUCGGUCCGCGAAUACGUGCGCUAUCUUCGCGAAUAGAUCAAGCUUCUGGAAAUUACGCAGACACAGUCCGAGAUGCAAAGUUUCGCGGCGAUAAAUAUUUUAUGUAGAAGAUAGAAAUUGAAAACUUUGUUCUUAAUUUCUAGUCUUUUACAUAUAAGAUUGUAUAAAUAAAUACAUUUUUAACAUCGAAAUACCGUAUUUUUUGUUCCCUUUGGUUUCAUAAUGCAUUUUCUCACUGAGUCUGAUAAGCCCCUUAAUUAAAGCGAAACACGUGUCGGUGUAUGUGUGCGUGUGUUUUAAGCGCGUAAGUAAUAAUUUUAUGAGAGCUUCGCUGUUGCUUCGCACUUUUAUAUCCGCGUGCGCAGAGAAUGACUAUAUAUUAUUAUAUAUAUUCCGUAUAUUCCUGUGACACGUCAUCGCGAUGUUGUGAUUUAUCACGAUGAGGAUUACGUGACGCUGAAAAUAGGAUAAGAGCAGCGCAGCGCGAUAUAAUAUCGGAAAUAAAAUCAUCGAUAACGAAACGGGGCGUGUGAUAAAAAUUACAUUUACGAGAUGCGAAUAUUCCGCGUCUGAUACGGGCCGAGCUGUCAUAAACUCACGCGAACGGACGAAUGUAAUUUGCGAUAAUGCGGCUUUGAGGCGCAAAAUUCGUUUUGGCGUUUCGGGAAGAAAAUUCUGAAAGGAAAUUCUGCAAAGAUCUCCCAAUGUUUCGCGUCAUAUUUAUGCUGUGUAUACGCAUGCUAAAACGGUCUAUUUGAAAGAUUAUCAUAAGUUCGUUACUUCUCCGAAUUAUAGAUAAGCCAAAACUGUAGCUAAUAACGUAGAUUAUUAAUGUUUAUAAAGCAGCAUGCUAGUAUAGUAAUGAUAACAGUAAUAACUACGUAAUAAUACCAAUUAAUAACAGGAAAGCUGAUCGCUUUGCUACCUUGUGCGUCGGACAUUAAUUACGAAAAACACCAAUUUGUACAGACAUUUUAAUUGUCUCUCAUGAUAGAUCAAAGAUACGGAUCCGCAGCGAAUAAAUAUAUAUAUUACAUUAAACUAACUUCAUCAAAUCGAGAUACACGGAGAUUCGUAGCAGCGAAUCUCUUAAACUGAAAGAAACUGCUUCGCCGAAAUCUGCGAUGCAUGAAUCCUUCGACCGCGAAUAAUUGUCUGAACUUAAAGGAGAGCGUAUAUUCGCUGAAACACAGGCCGGUAUUCAUAGUCAGAUCUUAUAUUUAAGAUCGUUUUAAGUUUAUCUUUAGAUACUCCGUAGUCAAUGAAACGAGUCAUACAGCAUCUGAAUGACUAUGAAUAUCGGCCACAAUCAGUAUGAGGAUACGCUCGUCAAUAUUGGAAUCCUCAGGCAAUGCACGAAUACUCUCGUCGCCGGGCUGGGAUCAACAAAUACAAUCGACCAAGCAAAUCUUGUAUGCAAAGUAGCUUCGCGGAGAGGGUCAAUAGUUAACGAUUUAGGGCAUGGAUAGAACUCAUGCGUGUGAAGUACGAAUGAUCCUGUCUAUAUCACACUGGUGUCUAGUCAUCAUCGAUAUUGCAUGUGAACGGCGGUUGACGCUUUUAUUUGGAACAUAUCAUGCAACCCUGCGAGAGACGCGGCCAUCGGUAUUAUUUUAUGAUGUCGAAAUGGACUGCACCGUUGUGGUUGCAUUGACCUCGUUUUCCCAAAAGGAGAAAAAGGAAGAAAGAUAUCCAAUAUUUUGAUUAGAUUCUGUCGUAUGUACGGAUUUUCCGUUGAAAUCCGAGUAAAAUAUGAAUGUUUUAUAUAUGGAUUUGUAAUAAAUUUCUUUCCUUUAUUUUUCUGCCAAAAAAGGGUAAGUUUUCUCUUUGAUCUCACUUAUUGUCGUUUACCUUAAAAUGAUAUAACGCAUAAACUCUAAAAUAAAUACAUGUAUAGUAUUAACACAUUGAUUGCUACGUCGUUCAUGAAUGACAUAUAAUUUCCAGGAAGUUAAACAUUGUUUCAACAAACAUGUUUUCUUUCUAUAGUUUACUUUUUUUCAACAAAAAAAAAUACGUCACGAACUCUAUUAAUAUUUCAAUCUGAAAUUAUGUUUUAUGGCAAAAAGAAAGAAAAAUUAUGAAAGGAAAACGUGUUUGGCUCUCUGAGAAUAUUUCAUGAAAUUGAAUGUCAUUUAAACGUAAAAGACGUGGCAAUCAAUGUGUUAAUUUCGCGUACGUUUUUUUUCCUUUUUUUAAAUUCUUUGUCCUUUUAUUCGCGCGAAUAACACGGUAGUGGACUGUAAGGGCGGCAAGGAUUGCAGUAUGGAUUCGGUGGCGAGGGUGGCUGCGGCAAUGUUGUCGGAAGUAUAGGGGGUAGCAAAAGCCGGGGGCAACAAGAUCCAGGUGUUAUUGGACAACAUCGAGGUGGCGGAACGCAAGGAGGCCUUCGGGGUGGAAUCUCGCAAGGAAUUUCUUCAAUUCUCGGGGGCAAAAUUAUACUGUGCGACGGCGAUGAUGAAACGCUUGCACAUUUGCUAUAAAUAUUACAACAACACUUUGAAACUAGAAUGGCUAAUCGCCGGAAACUAACGAUCAAGCGUUUCUCUUUUAUCGCGUAUUACGAAACACGCGAUAAUUUUGAACGUUGAGAAUUAUUGGGAUUUCCUAAAUUAAAUUGCACGUACCAAUUGUCAAUAGCACAUAUUAGAUAUUUCAGCUCUUCCAUGCCGUUCCGGCAUGACUCCGAUUUCUUCUUGCAAGUUGUAUCCCUUAUUUGUAUCGACAUUUUAUUUUAUCUUUGUUUUAUCUUUAU